UACGAAGGGGGCUAGCGUUGCUCGGAAUCACUGGGCGUAAAGGGUGCGUAGGCGGGUCUUUAAGUCAGGGGUGAAAUCCUGGAGCUCAACUCCAGAACUGCCUUUGAUACUGAGGAUCUUGAGUACGGGAGAGGUGAGUGGAACUGCGAGUGUAGAGGUGAAAUUCGUAGAUAUUCGCAAGAACACCAGUGGCGAAGGCGGUUCUCUGGGACGGUACUGACGCUGAGACGCGAAAGCGUGGGGAGCGAACAGG
rnacentral:rRNA from 1 species